rnacentral:rRNA from 2 species
CAUCCUCCAAGGCUAAAUACUCCUGACUGACCGAUAGUGAACCAGUACCGUGAGGGAAAGGCGAAAAGAACCCCGGCGAGGGGAGUGAAAAAGAACCUGAAACCGUGUACGUACAAGCAGUGGGAGCCCCACCACUAAGCCAGUGGUGAACUCCACAUACGCAUCCUUUGCUGAGGAUACGGUUAACGGAGCGAAAGCGACGUUCAACCGCAAAAGAAGCAGAGGGGGCUUAGUGGUGGGGUGACUGCGUACCUUUUGUAUAAUGGGUCAGCGACUUAUAUUCUGUAGCAAGGUUAACCGUAUAGGGGAGCCGGAGGGAAACCGAGUCUUAAUUGGGCGUUAAGUUGCAGGGUAUAGACCCGAAACC